CAGAGCUCUUAACACAAAACGUGCUCAUUUCUCAACAUCGGGCUCCAGCAGAAUCUGUCCAUCUAUGGCAGGUGGAGGAGGAAGUGGGUGAGGCUUGUCUUAGGAGAGGACGCCCUGACACCCACUGGCUGGUUGGGUCACGGGGGAGUCAUCCCAGAGCCAGCCUGGAUAUUGCAGACAGAAGGAACUUGGCGUCUGCUCUGGGUGCUGGCGGAUGUGGCAACACGUGCUGUGGCAUGGCUGAGGAAAUCCACAAAGCCAGGAAUGAUGAUGACAGCCUUGAUGACAGCCUUGAUGACAGCCUUGAUGACAGCCAUAUCCUCCCUGUCCUCCACUGUGAUUGGCUCAAUGAUAACUUCUAAUUAAAUGAAUGAAUGGUGCGCCGAUGAAUGAACACACUGGAACAACUUGGAUAUGAUACCAUGCAUACUUUUUGCUGUAAGUAACAGUAACUUAAACAAAUAUCUUUCUCACAUAACCAGGCAUCUGGAAAUAGGUGAUUCUGUGAGAAACAGCUCAGUGAUGUCAAAAGCUCUUUGGGAACUUUGAUUUUUCUUGGCCUUCCCCUCAUAGCUGCAAGAGGGCUGCAACAGCUCCAACAAUCUUUUUAUCUAACUGCACUCUCAUCCCAGGAAAGGAGCAGGAAGGAAAAUAAGUCUCCUUCUAGGCUUCUCUCUUUUGGUCAGGGAGGAAAGCCUUCCCCAGGAUUCCCCCCAGCAGAUGCCCCUCACAUCUAAUUGGCCAGAACUAGGUCACAUGACCACCCCAGGCCACAUGGGAAGCUGAGAAAGGGAACUUCUUCCUUCUUCAGGACCCAGUGGGAAUAAACCAGUUCUAACAGCCCUUGCCCCUCCUUGCCCAGGUGGUCCCAUUUGGGAAGCCCCAGGGACAAUGGGGUAUCACGAUCUGGUCACAAAUAAAAAGCCAUGCCUUGUGCUUGAUGCUUGCUGGAGGAUAUCACAUUCUGUCUCUUGAAAUUCUCUCCCUUGACACUGGCCCACCCAGCCUUUCCCUUGACUCUGCCCAUAAGCUCACCUGUUUCAGUGCAAUCAGUGAUUGUUAUCUCUGUGGUUACAGCGUCGCUACUAUUUACUGAGCACCAGCCACGUGCCUGGUGACUGAACAAGUUGCAUAACCUCUUUGUGCUUCCUUUUC
rnacentral:lncRNA from 10 species